rnacentral:rRNA from 1 species
UACGUAGGUGGCAAGCGUUAUCCGGAUUUACUGGGUGUAAAGGGCGCGUAGGCGGGAUUGCAAGUCAGAUACGAAAACUAUGGGCUUAACCCAUAGCCUGCAUUUGAAACUGUAGUUCUUGAGUGAUGGAGAGGCAAGUGGAAUUCCUAGUGUAGCGGUGAAAUGCGUAGAUAUUAGGAGGAACACCAGUGGCGAAGGCGACUUGCUGGACAUUAACUGACGCUGAAGCGCGAAAGCGUGGGGAGCAAAC